rnacentral:lncRNA from 1 species
GAACAAUGCUAGUUCUGUUGUCCAGGAAUGCGUUCUCAACACAGCGAUUUCCUGAAUACCCAAGAGACUCAGGCAGUAAAAGGCUGAAGGCCAGACAACAAGGCACUGGAUCUAGGACAGGGGAAAAUGGCUGCUCCGUUUUCGAGAUCCGUCUGGGCAGCUGACUUUGCAGAUGGGAUCUACUGGUUGCAUUUCUAAGCUUGAGAGAUCAUCUUCUCUUUACCUUGAAGGUGUUGGAACCAGUGUUUAAAUUGUGAAAGAUCAUUGCUUCAAGAUGCUGGGACGGCUCUGACAACGAAGAAGGAAAGGAAAUAUUGAUAGAAAAUACCCUCUGGAUUUUUCAGACAUCAUGGAAGAUUUUUUUUCUCCACAGAAGAAAAGAACACUGACAGCAAGAAAAAUAUCUGUGUGUUCUCUAAAAUCUACCUUGUUCUUUACCCUGGAGAAGUCCUGUUGUGGUUCCACACCCUUCUGUCAAGCAGGUCCCUGAGGGGAUGCCACCCUUCUGCUGUCACCUAUAAUCCACGAGUGAUCCUCCGAAUCAUCCUUUGUGGUGACCGCCACACACAUGCAGUUUACCCAGAGAGAGACACAGCAUCUCUACAGAAUGGAGCAGAGAGAGUGGGAAACGGCAGAGAGAGAGAG